ACCUUUUAAAAGCACUCAUUGGGCCUUUCCCUAAUGACCCACUGAGCUGUCAAGAAAAGGCAAAGUAAAAACACCGCUUUUGGGUGAAGUGGCAGCAUGUUGUGCUGUGUUGUUUCGCUUCAACUGGUGGUGUGACAAGG